AGUGAACGCUGGCGGCGUGCUUAACACAUGCAAGUCGAACGAGAACGGAAUAUAGCUUGCUAUAUUUGUCAGCUAAGUGGCGCACGGGUGAGUAAUGUAUAGAUAACCUGCCCUUAAGAAAGGAAUAACAGUUGGAAACGACUGCUAAUGCCCUAUAUGCCUUUAAUACAUAAGUAUGCAAGGGAAACGCUUUAGUGCUUAAGGAUGGUCUGUAUGGUAUCAGCUUGUUGGUGAGGUAAUGGCUCACCAAGGCUAUGACGCCUAACUGGUUUGAGAGGAUGAUCAGUCACACUGGAACUGAGACACGGUCCAGACUCCUACGGGAGGCAGCAGUGGGGAAUAUUGCACAAUGGACGAAAGUCUGAUGCAGCGACGCCGCGUGGAGGAUGACACAUUUCGGUGCGUAAACUCCUUUUAUAUAGGAAGAUAAUGACGGUACUAUAUGAAUAAGCACCGGCUAACUCCGUGCCAGCCGCCGCGGUAAGAC
rnacentral:rRNA from 1 species